GAGAGAGAGAGAGAGAGAGAUGGGGGGGGGGUGCAUGCAUGUGAGAAUGCGUAUGCUUGUUUACCUAUGUAGAAGCACGGAAGGAGAGAGCGACACAGACAGACAGAGAGCGAGGGAGGGCGAGACAGAGAAAGAGAAGAGAUUUGUAAGCCACUUGUAUUUGCAAACUACUGGCUGAGGUCCCACUAGAGCCUGGAAGAUCAGAGUGAAAGACAUGCGUGUCAGGAGUGUGUAUCCGCCAGUGUGUGUGUGGGGAGAGAGAGAGAGAGAGAGAGAGAGAGAGAGAGAGAGAGAGAGAGAGAGAGAGCCUAGGAGAGACAGAGAGACAGGCAGACAGACAGAGAAAGGAGCCCAUUCAACACAUUUCAGCAGCAACUUUUCAGCCUGUCUACAUGAGGCUUAUCCACAAAUAUGGAAGAUUUUUGCUCUCUUGUGUUUGAUUUUUUCUUUUCUACCAUCAAGUCACCACAGAUUCAUGCCGCCGAACUUUUGGCCACACUUUAGGCUGAUGGUAAAAGAAGCACAGGCUCAACUGGAGACAGAUGAGAGUUUUGUUGGUAGUUUUGAAGAAGGUGAUGAUCGUGACAACCAUAAUGGCAUUCACCACGUCUGCAGGGCUAUUUAGGGAAACCAAAACGUUUGCAUCACCGCCUCUCCUCGCUCCUGCCGGCUUCUCAUCAUCAUCACUUGAACCUCCUCGACAUGGGUGGCAACACAUGUCGGCAUGGAGCUGCUUCGCACAGGCCAAGAGAAACAAGGCAACACACACACAGAUACACACACAGAAUUGUGAUACUCACGACACAAAACUAUUUCUAGCUUGUCUUUUCGGGAUGGUGACUGGAAUUAUAAAGUUAGCAUUUUACGUUGUUCGAACCAUCUGUGGACAGCUGAUAUAGUAGGUUUACAAAAAUUAAAAUAUAUAUGUUUGGAUUUGAAUUUCAAAUAUAUGUGUGGGUUGGGUGGGAACCAAAAAGGAAAGGGACAGGCGAUCGUUUCUGUGAUUUUCCACUUGUCUGAGUCAAACUGCAGCGACAAAGACUGGCUGAAGAUGAAUGAAAAUAAACAGGGUAGUUUAAUUUUUGGUACUUGUAUAGUACAUGCUGAUUUUCUCUGACAAGUCAAAUAGCUGCUAUCAAUCAAACCAACCAAUGGCGAGACACACAGUCCUUCCUGGUGCCUACGGUGAACAUUCAACGCUGUCGGUGAGUUUGAACUCUAACCAAAACCAUCGACCGUUGACUGUACCCUGAGGGACGCCAAAGCGCACAUGCACAUGAUCUUCUGGAAUCCAUAUAUUAUGAGGUAUUUCGGUUUUGCCGUCAUCCAGAGCAAAAUGCAGAACUACAGUCUGUGGGUGGACUACGAAUCAAACCCGUGACCUUGAUUUAGCUGACACCACAUCAGCUGUGACGCUGGAGGUGCUCACUCUUAAGGCUGCAAUAAACAUUCAUUGCUGUCGGUGGGUUUACAUGAGAAUAACUCACUGAUCAAUGAAUGCAGACUGCGGUUCAAACUCCUCAAUAACCAGUCGGCCAUGGGGUGGGACAAGAGCCACCCACAUGUACCCAGAGGUAAAGCAAAGUUUUCCAUGGACUGUGUGUAAUGCACCGAUGUACAGGAUAUCUUAGUACGGACGUUGUUUUUAUUAUUUUAUUUUAUUUUUUAAUGUAGCCUGUUUCGAAGAUGUUUUAACACUUGACACAUCCAACUUUCACAAGUCCCCACUGCAGGACUAAUAAAGGCCUAUCUUAUCUUAUCUUAAUAUGAUACCGAGCAACUUGAGCUGGCUAGGGAGCCAAACAAUCUCAACAUCUAAUGAUAAUAUCAAGGAAGAAAAAGGAAAAGCCAAACAACCUUCACUGGACCAGACAGUGGUCGACAAAGUACAGCCAACAACAACCCCAUCCUCUUCAGCAAUACCGCUAGGACAAUAACAUUCAAUAAUGACGUCAACAUUUCUUCAAUCAGUAGUAAACGCUGAGUCACUGGGUGUAAUCCUGUAUGGAUGGUCAAAAUGAGACUGAAUAGUUGAGAGCAGCCCAUUUAGCCCAGCGAUUGCAGUUUACAGGUUUUGCAGCUGGUAAGACAGAAGACAAUAAAACAAUGCAUUUGGCGAUUUGAUUUGAUUUGGGCUUGGCUGGCUGGUUGUUUAGCUAUAUCGGGGAUGCCCUUUGUUGAAACCACUGACGUAUAUAAAGAUGGAAGAUAUGUCUCCACUUUCUCUCACAGUACAAGAGAGAAAAUAUCCUGGAUACAAGGACUGCCAUCUUGCACUGAUGUCAUUUAGCUCCAGGGUCUGUGCAGUAGUUAUCAGACAGUUGAACCAUGGUAUCAAGUUCUCACCAAUAGUGAGCAGAUCUCAAUUGUCAAUCAUGAUAUUUCACUCCCAUUAUGUAUAUGUACCAAAUGAGUAAUUAAAUAAUGAACCACCUAAAAUGACAAAAAACAUCUUUGCAAAAAAUGUAUUUGAUAUGUACUUUGAGUUUUUAGUUUGGUCCAUGUCCCAUCUCCUAACACGAAGGGGAGUUGACCUAUUGGAUCCAGCCACCAGGAGGUGAUCAAAAUGAUUUGGCUUCCCUUUAAGGGAGCUGUCGUGUCAUCCAUCUUUAUAUACAGUCAAUGGUACAUAUUCAACAUAUUCAACUUUUCAUUAAGCGGAUGUGAUCAAAGGUUGACAUUCAUCCAUCUAUCCAUGAUCCAUUUUCUACACUGCUUAUCCAGUUAGAGUUGCGAGGGGACUGGAGCGUAUCCCAGCUGACAACGGGUACACCCUGGACUGGUCGCCACUCAAUCAAAAGGGCCGACACACAAAGACAGACACACACACACACACUCAGGGACAAUGUAGAAUAGCCAACAAACCUAACCAAUGUUUUUGGGAUUGUGGGAGGAACCCCGAGUACCCAGAAGAAAUCCCCACAGGCACAGGGAGAACAUGCAAACAGCGCACAAAAGGGCCCAGACCCAGAUUCGACCUGGAACCAUCUUGCUGUCAGGUGACAGUGCUAACCACUGCACCACUGUGCUGCCUCAAAGGUUGACAUGAUGGAAUAAAUGUUUGAAAUGA